CCUACGGGUGGCAGCAGUGAGGAAUAUUGGUCAAUGGCCGGAAGGCUGAACCAGCCAAGUCGCGUGAGGGAAUAAGGCCCUAUGGGUCGUAAACCUCUUUUGUCAGGGAGCAAAGGCGUCCACGUGUGGACGAGAGGAGAGUACCUGAAGAAAAAGCAUCGGAUAACCCCGUGCCAGCAGCCGCGGUAAUACGGAGGAGGCGAGCGUUACCCGGAUUUAUUGGGUUGAAAGGGUGCGUAGGCGGAGUGUCAAGUCAGCGGUAAAAUUUCGGGGCUCAACCCCGUCGGGCCGUUGAAACUGCCGCCCUUGAGUGCGUGAGAAGUACGCGGACUGCGUGGUGUAGCGGUCAAAUGCAUCGAUAUCACGCAGAACGCCGAUUGCG
rnacentral:rRNA from 1 species